rnacentral:rRNA from 1 species
ACAUGUCUUUGUGAAUUUUAUGUAAAGUCUAGCCUGCCCAGUGAUAAUUAAGUUUAACGGCCGCGGUAGCAUGACCGUGCUAAGGUAGCAUAAUCAUUUGUCCCUUAAUUGGGGACUGGUAUAAACGGCUGCACAAGAAAUUGUCUGUCUCUACUAUAAAAUUUGAAGUUCACAUUUAAGUGAAAAGGCUUAAAUAAAAUAGGGGGACGAUAAGACCCUAUAAAUCUUUACAAUUGGGCCUCUGGCUGUUAGAAACUAGUUAUCGAUCUAAAUCUAGUGUUUCAAUUGUUUUGUUGGGGCGACAGAAGUAUAAUAAGUAACUGCUUUGGUUUUUAUAUUAAUUGUUUUUAUUAUGGUCAUUUGAAAGAUCCUCUUUUGGAGAUGUCAGACUAAGUUACUUUAGGGAUAACAGCGUAAUCUUUCUUGAGAGUUCAUAUCGAAAGAAGGGUUUGCGACCUCGAUGUUGAAUUAAAGAACCUUUAUGGUGAAGCCGCUAUAAGAGGAGGUCUGUUCGACCUUUAAACCUUUACGUGAU